UAUUGCCUUACAAGUUUUAUGAUUAUUGGAAAAUAAAAUUAUAACAUUACAACGAUCGGUAAUCUUACAUCGAGUCGUAAUGUUACGCAACCCAGCCAUACUGGUUUGUUUUUUUUUUAUAGCUACCUCCAUGGCGGCAGACUACGUGAACAAAAGUCACACGAAGCCGUGGAAAGUGCGGUUUUACCCGAAAAGGUCGCUUUUCAGGAAGGCCGAUCUGAUUGAUAAGGGAUGUACAGUGUUUAUCAAUGAUUGUCCGCGUUCUUACAAGCAAAACCACAUCUGCGCAAGGCAUUACGACGGCCAAUACAAAACAUUCAACAACUACUGCGAAAUGGAGUUUGAGAACUGCAAUAGUUGGAGAAAAUGGAGUAUGGUCAAAAGGGAAAGAUGCUAACAUUAUUUUAAUCCAUUCAACUUUAUUGUUUUUUUUUCAUGUUUUACAAAAAAAUAUAAUAUUUUGCUAAUUACAAGAUGAUCAAUAGUACCUAUUUAUCAGUUAUUAAAGUUUUAUUGAGUUUU